rnacentral:rRNA from 1 species
CAAUAGCGUAUAUUUAAGUUGCUGCAGUUAAAAAGCUCGUAGUUGGAUUUCGGGUGGGAAUGGCCGGUCCGCCGUUUCGGUGUGCACUUGCUACGCCCACCUUGCUGCCGGGGACGUGCUCUUGAGUUCACGCUCGGGACACGGAGUCGGCGAGGUUACUUUGAGUAAAUUAGAGUGUUCAAAGCAGGCCUACGCUCUGAAUACAUUAGCAUGGAAUAACACGAUAGGACUCUGGCCUAUCUUGUUGGUCUGUAGGACCGGAGUAAUGAUUAAGAGGGACAGUCGGGGGCAUUCGUAUUUCAUUGUCAGAGGGGAAAUUCUUGGAUUUAUGAAAGACGAACUACUGCGAAAGCAUUUGCCAAGGAUGUUUUCAUUAA